UCGCCUGUUUAUCAAAAACAUGGUUUCUUGGUUAUUUAGGAGAUUUGGCCUGCCCACUGAAUAAAAUUUGAAGGGCCGCGGUAUUUUGACUGUGCAAAGGUAGCGUAAUCAUUAGUCUUUUAAUUGGAGGCUUGUAUGAAUGGUUGGACGAGGUGAAUACUGUUUUAUAAUAAUUGUAAUGUUGAAGUUUGAUUUUAAGUAAGAAGACUUAAAUGAUAUUAAGGGACGAGAAGACCCUAUAGAGUUUAAUAAAUAAUAAUUGUAAUAAGGUUAAUAUGGACAAGUAAUAUUUAUUAUGAUUUAAAUUUAUUUAAUUGGGGUGAUUAGAAGAUAAGUAAAACUCUUCUUUAAUUUAAAUAUUUAUGAAUAAUUUAAGGAUCCAUAAGUUGAUAUGAUUAAAAGAGUAAAUUACCUUAGGGAUAACAGCAUAAUUUUUUUUGAGAGUUCUUAUCAAGAAGAAGGAUUGUGACCUCGAUGUUGGAUUAAGAUAGAAGUUGGGUGUAGGUGUUCAAUAAGUUAGGUCUGUUCGACCUUUAAAAUCUUACAUGAUCUGAGUUCAAACCGGAGA
rnacentral:rRNA from 1 species